CUCAUUCUGCUUCCUUUGUUUGCUGAACUGUGCUGGGUAAGCGUGGCUGUUUCUUCGUUUGUCAGCUUUAAUCGUAGCAAUUAAUGCAAGCUGGUCUGAUCUGUUUAGCCUCCCUCUCUGCUCCUCCAACUCCUGGACCAAUCUGUUCGUUUGUUUGUUUGCUGCCGGGAAGUGUGGUAAUUUACCGGAUUACAGGUAAGCAGCUACAGUAAGUUAUAGUUUUUAUCAGCAGUUGUAUUAAUAAUCUACUUUAUUUUUUAGCCUCCUGCUGAGUCCCCGACGACUAUUAUAUUUGGCUGUACACUCGCUGAUGUUUUGCCUACGAAGAAAUGUUUUAAAAGAUUUGUAUGAACUUUUCCCCCGCUGCCGGGAGCAUUGAUGGCACUACGAACGGGAUAAAGAGCAAUAUUGUAUCACAGUUUUAUUCAUGUUUCAUUUUUUGUCUUUCUUUUAGGGACUGAGGCUUCUGUGGUGGCGGUGGUGAUCCCUGGUGGCGGUGUCUUGUCUUGUGUGUGUGUGUUUGCCGUGUUUUUGUAGUAUCCAGGGUGAUCCCUUUUCUUCACUGGAUGUUGCCCCUUUCCUCACUACCCCCCUCCCUCAGUUUUCUUUUGAAAUUUAAACAUUUUAUUAUAACCAAUUUCAUUAAAAAUGCAUUCACUGUUUUAACCAUUCAA